CAGCAGCCGCGGUAAUACAGAGGGUGCAAGCGUUAAUCGGAGUUACUGGGCGUAAAGGGCGCGUAGGCGGUUAUAUAAGUGAGAUGUGAAAUCCCCGGGCUUAACCUGGGAACUGCAUUUGUGACUGGCGAGCUAGAGUAUGGCAGAGGGGGGUAGAAUUCCACGUGUAGCAGUGAAAUGCGUAGAGAUGUGGAGGAAUACCGAUGGCGAAGGCAGCCCCCUGGGCCAAUACUGACGCUCAUGCACGAAAGCGUGGGGAGCAAACAGGAUUAGAUACCCGCGUAGUCCCUGUCUCUUAUAC
rnacentral:rRNA from 1 species